rnacentral:rRNA from 1 species
UACGUAGGCAGCAAGCGUUGUUCGGAAUUACUGGGCGUAAAGAGUGUGUAGGCGGUGCUCUAAGUUUGGUGUGAAAUCUCCCGGCUCAACUGGGAGGGUGCGCCGAAAACUGGAAUGCUUGAACAUGGGAGAGGAAAGCGGAAUUCCUGGUGUAGCGGUGAAAUGCGUAGAUAUCAGGAGGAACACCUGCGGUGUAGACGGCUUUCUGGACCAUUGUUGACGCUGAGACACAAAAGCGUGGGGAGCAAACAGG